rnacentral:tRNA from 1 species
UAGCUCCAUACGUAGAGCUUUGUGUUCAGGACACAAUAAUGCAGGUUCGAGUCCUGU